UCACCCAGGCUGGAAUGAAAAAGUGCGAUCAUAGCUCGCUACAGCCCAAACUCCUGGGCUCAAGUGAUCCUCCUGCCUCAGCCUCCUGAGUAGCUGGGACCACAGGUUGCUGUUAAGUGCCAUUGAUAUGCUGAAUGAAGAAAAUGACAGAUUGAAGCUAACCAGCCACAAACUCAGGAAAGAUGUGACAGCCAGAAUGCCACUACGACAGGAUUUUUUUUUUUAGAUGGGCUCUCACUAUGUUGUCCAGGCUGGUGUUUAAUUCCUGGGCUCAAGUGAUCCUCCUGCCUCAGCCUCUGAAGCAGCUGGGACUACAGGUAUGAGUCACUGCACCUGGCCCUAUCAAAGCACUGUUAAAGACUGGACUAUGUAAGCAUUUCUCCUUUGCAAGGAGCGUGAUGUUGAGCUUUUUCAGUAGAGGGCACAGGAGGGAUACUGUAGAAGGAAGGGAGCUUCUCUUCCUAGUUCCAGUGUGCUGCAUUUUGCUUUUAUUGCUCCUCUUCCAUUGUCUAACAGCAAUGAGUGUAUGCCGAUGGUGGGGACUAUCUACGAGUGCUCUGUUCAAGCUGUGUGCACCAAGAAUGGGAAUGCAGCCCCUCAGCUGCACACUAUAAAUAAGCUACCAUGAGGCCCCAGUGUGGGCCCAGAGACCACCUUGCUGCUGCCAAUGCAGAUUUAGCACACUCCAGACCGCACAGCCGUAGUGGUGCCCUCACUGUCUCUGCAUGCCUGUCCACUGGCCUCAGCUCACCUCGCAACCCUCCUGAUGUGGACACCACGUGCUCCAAGCAGCCAAGCUCUCCAUGCAGGCCUGUCCAUCAGCCUCAUUCCCCUGGCACCCUGGGGGUUGUUUCCUGCUUGCCUGCUGAUUGCUGACUAGCUCUGGCCUGGGCAUGUGGCAGACCUUUCCGCCAUCCAGUGGACUGCAGCCGCAGCUUCUCCAAUAAGUUCAAGUCUUGAAGUGAGAACCAGAAAGCUUCCAUGAUGACCCUAAAAAGAACCUUGCCGGGAACGUGACUCAUGCCUAUAAUCCCAGCAACUCGGGAGGCUGAGGCAGGAGCAUUGCUUGAGGCCAGGAGUUUAAGACCAGCUUGGGCAGCAUAGCGAGAUCUUGUCUCUAAAAAAAAUUAUUUUUAGGAAUCUUUCUUGUAGAUCCAGGGCUGAUAUUGCUGAAGACCAAAAAUAAAAUUUAAUUGUGCAGGUUGCUGAAUAAUAAUGACAUUUCAGUUCACAGUCUUGCCAAGUUUUUAAUGUGAAAGUUAGGGCACUGAUAAGGAAAGAAUGGGAUCCUGAACCUUGUAAUCAAGACAUCUCAAAUGAACUGAGACAACUCAAAUGAAUUGAGACAUCCAAAUGAAGCCCAUAGUCUUGAGAUCCAAGAUUAUCAGGGGGUCGUUCUGAGUCCCCUGACCAGCAGAAGUAGGUUGCCCUCUGGUGUCUGAGGACGUUACCUUUGUUCUGCUUGAAAUCCUUGUGACAACCUUGCUUGAGGCAGACGCCUUGAAUAGGGAUGCUCAUUCUCCACUAGACCCACCAUAGCCAUACCCUGUGGCCACCAGACCCACAAAGUCUUAGCAUGCUCCAGAGGGACAGGAGGACUUAAGACCCAGGAGGAGACAGCUUAGGCACGAAAAGGAUUGCAGGGCCUUGCUAACAUAUAUUAGUAGUAAUCUGGUGACUAUACAUAGGAAUGGAUUCUGAGGUUGGUAGAUCAGAGGGCAAAAUAUAACACAAUAUCAGGCCAAAUCCUUUUACGUGAGUGUGCUUACUAGAAUUCUGAAUGUAAAGUAUUAGCUUGUGUAGAUAAAGGUGAAUCUAACUGCUUAUUUUGUUGAUUGACUGAAACUUGAACUCAAAAUUCAAGUUUCAUGAGGUCUAAUUUAAUGAGGUUAAGACGCCAGAGCUUUGCUGGUGUGUCGUGAAAGAAGAAAUCCAAGAGCACCGGGAGAUGGCAAUGUUGGAGUGGAUUGAUCAUGUGUGACUUAUUCCCUAACUAUAUUCUAUGUGAAGACCCAAGAAGAUACUCCCUUUACCAAGGCAUUAAAAAAUACAUUUGUCAGGGGAGCACCUGUGUCUUUGACAAGUUCUGUGGUUAUUCCCUUUGUUAGGCCAGGCUGUAGGUGGUUCCAACUUUAAGAUGGGCCCCCUAAUUUCAGUGGGGAUGACGGUAUUGCAUUGUAGCAGAGGCCAAGUUGAAGCACUUAACCAACAAAGACAAGGUGGGCACAUCAACCAUAAAGGGCAUCAGAAAUGUUUCAGCAAUCAAAACACUUUGGCCUACAGAGAUCUUAACUGAUCUAUAUAAUAGGAAAACUCUAUGUCCAGCAGCCAAAUACCUGAUUUGAGUCAGGCAUUGAUUUGAGUCAUAACAAUGGUGAAUGGUGGCCUCUCACUCAGUUUCCAGGCUUAAGUUGGUUCACUGAUUCAGAGUGAAGUUGGUUCACUGAUUCAGAACCUUUGCUUGAAUAGGAGGCUAGGUUCCCUUGAAGAUCUUGCAGGACCUCGUAACACUGCUAUAAGAAAACACCUGAAGCCAGGCGCAGUGGCUCAUGCCUAUAAUCCCAGCACUUUGUGAGGCCAAGGCAGGUGGAUCACGAUUUCAGGAGAUCGAGACCAUCCUGGCCAACAUGGUGAAACCCCGUCUCUACUAAAAUACAAAAAUUAGCUGGGUGUGGUGGCAUGCACCUGUAAUCCCAGC
rnacentral:lncRNA from 10 species